rnacentral:rRNA from 1 species
CCUACGGGAGGCAGCAGUGAGGAAUAUUGGUCAAUGGGCGCGAGCCUGAACCAGCCAAGUAGCGUGAAGGAAGACGGUCCUAUGGAUUGUAAACCUCUUUUGUCAGGGAACAAAGUGAGCCACGCGUGGCUUUUCGUAAGUACUCUAUGAAUAAGCAUCGGCUAACUCCGUGCCAGCAGCCGCGGUAAUACGGAGGAUCCGAGCGUUAUCCGGAUUUAUUGGGUUUAAAGGGUGCGCAGGCGGAAGAUAAAGUAGGCGGUAAAAUUGAGCGGCUCAACCUAUUCGUGCCGUUGAAACUGGUUUUCUUGAGUGCAUGUGAGGUAGGCGGAAUGCGUGGUGUAGCGGUGAAAUGCAUAGAUAUCACGAAGAACUCCGAUUGCGAAGGCAGCAUACCAACGCUCAACUGACGUUCAUGCACGAAAGUGUGGGUAUCGAACAGGAUUAGAUACCCUAGUAGUC